rnacentral:rRNA from 1 species
AUUGAACGCUGGCGGCAGGCCUAACACAUGCAAGUCGAACGGUAGCACAGAGAGCUUGCUCUCGGGUGACGAGUGGCGGACGGGUGAGUAACGUCUGGGAAACUGCCCGAUGGAGGGGGAUAACUACUGGAAACGGUAGCUAAUACCGCAUAACGUCGCAAGACCAAAGUGGGGGACCAUCGGGCCUCACACCAUCGGAUGUGCCCAGAUGGGAUUAGCUAGUAGGUGGGGUAAUGGCUCACCUAGGCGACGAUCCCUAGCUGGUCUGAGAGGAUGACCGGCCACACUGGAACUGAGACACGGUCCAGACUCAUACGGGAGGCAGCAGUGGGGAAUAUUGCACAAUGGGCGCAAGCCUGAUGCAGCCAUGCCGCGUGUAUGAAGAAGGCCUUCGGGUUGUAAAGUACUUUCAGCGGGGAGGAAGGCGGUGAAGUUAAUAGCUUCACCGAUUGACGUUACCCGCAGAAGAAGCACCGGCUAACUCCGUGCCAGCCGCCGCGGUAA